ACAGUAGACGAUACAAAUGAAACAAAACAUGAUUUAUGACGUUUUAUUUGAAAAAUAAAUGAAUUUACCAUUUUUUUUCAUACGCAGAAUAUUAAAUUACAUGUGUCAAGAGAAAACAAACAUAAGGUUGUUCCUUCUUACUUUAAUCACUACUGACGUGAAGUUGCACAUGACAAACAAAUACAGUCUAUGAAGAACUCAAAAAUAUGUUGAGAGAGACAAACAAAAAAAACAUUCCCUUGAAAUAAAAGUUUAAAGAAAAGGGUUAACAUGCAAAUGAGAGCAGACUGAGGAAUAAACUGGAAAAAAUAACAAUAAGAGAUGAGGUGAUGCAUGCAUUGCACAUUCAAACGGACACCUAUUGUUCACAACGGGUUGUGCCUCAGCAGAAGGGUCUCCGCAGCAGCCCCGUCAUGUGUGGCUGGACGUGGACACACACUUUGACAAUUAGAAAACCACACACAGCGCACUGAACCCAUGGCAAUCGUCUUUUCUUUGUGGGCAUACCGCACGGCCAGAGGAAGGGGGCUCUGCUCUCUGACAGACACCUUAUCCAUGGUUUGUAGAGAACAUACACGUCCCAUCCUCAUAUCUGGAUACUCUUCCUAUUGGAUUGUUUUAAUUGUAAUGUAGACGCAGACUCUAAGGUUUUAAUGUGUCAGCGCUGGGCUCAGGUUUGGCAAUGAUGGUUCAGUAUGACUCUUUAACUGGAAACCAGCAGCUCUAAAACACAUGAACGAGGCGGUACAAUCAGGUGGUUCAUUGGGACGUGGGAGGCAUGGACGCUUGUGAUGUAGCCUACGUACGUUAAUCAAUAUUGAAUAUCAUAAUUUCUACAGGAAACAUUUUCAUGGCUCUUACCUCUUUUCGGAGAGCAACAGCAUAUCAAAAAACAA